rnacentral:rRNA from 1 species
AGAGUUUGAUCCUGGCUCAGGAUGAACGCUAGCUACAGGCUUAACACAUGCAAGUCGAGGGGCAGCAUGUUGGUUGCUUGCAACCAAUGAUGGCGACCGGCGCACGGGUGAGUAACGCGUAUCCAACCUACCCUUGUCCAUCGGAUAACCCGUCGAAAGGCGGCCUAACACGAUAUGCGGUUCUCAGCAGGCAUCUAACGAGAACGAAAUGUGAAGGAGAAGGAUGGGGAUGCGUCUGAUUAGCUUGUUGGCGGGGUAACGGCCACCAGGGCGACGAUCAGUAGGGGUUCUGAGAGGAAGGUCCCCCANAUUGGAACUGAGACACGGUCCAAACUCUACGGGAGGCA